AUCUUGUGGAAUAGUCAUUGUUUGUCAACUUGUCAUGCUGCCUCUUUUUCCAUUCACUGAUUUUUAGCCAAGAUUUAUCCUUUUCUUUUGCCAUAUAUAUUUCUAUAUAGGGUUUCUGAUUAGUACUAAUAAUUGAUGUGGCUAUCACUCGUUUCUGUUUUUUUGUAUCCUUAAACAAGCAGGUAAGUCAGGACAGGCUAAUGGGGAUCAAGUAGACCAAGAUCAAGUGCUUGCAUUCAAGGAAUUUAGUCUUGCCGAACUCCGAGCAGAAACGAAUGACUUUAGCAGUGAAUUAAUAGUUUCUGAAAGUGGAGAGAAAGCUCCCAACGUUGUCUACAGAGGGAAGCUUCGGAGCAACAGGAUAGUGACACUCAACAGUUUGUGGUAAAUCUGGUUAUAAGUCAGCAGAUUAUAUAGUGUUUUGGUCCUUUUAGCCAUCAUCAUUGUUGAGCAACAAAUGUUUAGAUUUAAAACCUGAACUCUAAAUUCGAUAUGAUUUCAUUGAGACACACUUAUUGGUUACUGAACAUCAUCUGUAAUAGUCGUCCAUUAUAGCUUUCAUUGUUUUGUUGCUUUAGUAUGUCUUCGCUAUACAAAAUUAUCAUGUCACUUGGGUUUGUUAAUUUUAGUGGCUAGCCAUUAGAAUUGGUUCUGGGCUAUAAAGUGCAUAUUAUAAUUUAUGGCCAGCGAAUGAUAUUAGUUUC